rnacentral:rRNA from 1 species
GCAGCACGGGAGCAAUCCUGGUGGCGAGUGGCGAACGGGUGAGUAAUAUAUCGGAACGUGCCCAGUCGUGGGGGAUAACGCAGCGAAAGCUGUGCUAAUACCGCAUACGAUCUCUGGAUGAAAGCGGGGGACCGCAAGGCCUCGCGCGAUUGGAGCGGCCGAUAUCAGAUUAGCUAGUUGGCGGGGUAAAGGCCCACCAAGGCGACGAUCUGUAGCUGGUCUGAGAGGACGACCAGCCACACUGGAACUGAGACACGGUCCAGACUCCUACGGGAGGCAGCAGUGGGGAAUUUUGGACAAUGGGCGCAAGCCUGAUCCAGCAAUGCCGCGUGCAGGAUGAAGGCCUUCGGGUUGUAAACUGCUUUUGUACGGAACGAAACGGUCUGCCCUAAUACGGUGGGCUAAUGACGGUACCAUAAGAAUAAGCACCGGCUAACUACGUGCCAGCAGCCGCGGUAAUACGUAGGGUGCGAGCGUUAAUCGGAAUUACUGGGCGUAAAGCGUGCGCAGGCGGUUAUAUAAGACAGAUGUGAAAUCCCUGGGCUCAACCUAGGACCUGCAUUUGUGACUGUAUAGCUAGAGUACGGUAGAGGGGGAUGGAAUUCCGCGUGUAGCAGUGAAAUGCGUAGAUAUGCGGAGGAACACCGAUGGCGAAGGCAAUCCCCUGGACCUGUACUGACGCUCAUGCACGAAAGCGUGGGGAGCAAACAGGAUUAGAUACCCUGGUAGUCCACGCCCUAAACGAUGUCAACUGGUUGUUGGGUCUUCACUGACUCAGUAACGAAGCUAACGCGUGAAGUU